rnacentral:rRNA from 1 species
UGGGGAAUCUUCCGCAAUGGGCGCAAGCCUGACGGAGCAACGCCGCGUGAGUGAAGAAGGUUUUCGGAUUGUAAAACUCUGUCCGGGGGGAAGAAUAAAAUGACGGUACCCCUGGAGGAAGCCCCGGCUAACUACGUGCCAGCAGCCGCGGUAAAACGUAGGGGGCGAGCGUUGUCCGGAAUUACUGGGCGUAAAGGGCGUGUAGGCGGCAAAGUAAGUCCGUAGUGAAACCCGACAGCUCAACUGUCGGCUUGCUAUAGAAACUGCUUAGCUUGAGUGCAGUAGAGGGGAGUGGAAUUCCCAGUGUAGCGGUGAAAUGCGUAGAUAUUGGGAGGAACACCAGUGGCGAAAGCGGCUCCCUGGCCUGUAACUGACGCUGAGGCGC